rnacentral:rRNA from 1 species
AUUGAACGCUGGCGGCAUGCUUUACACAUGCAAGUCGAACGGCAGCGCGGGCUUCGGCCUGGCGGCGAGUGGCGAACGGGUGAGUAAUACAUCGGAACGUGCCCAGUAGUUGGGGAUAGCUCGGCGAAAGCCGGCUUAAUACCGCAUACGACCUGAGGUUGAAAGCGGGGGAUCUUCGGACCUCGCGCUAUUUGAGCGGCCGAUGGCAGAUUAGCUAGUUGGUGGGGUAAAGGCCUACCAAGGCGACGAUCUGUAGCUGGUCUGAGAGGACGACCAGCCACACUGGGACUGAGACACGGCCCAGACUCCUACGGGAGGCAGCAGUGGGGAAUUUUGGACAAUGGGCGAAAGCCUGAUCCAGCAAUGCCGCGUGUGUGAUGAAGGCCUUCGGGUUGUAAAGCACUUUUGGCGGGAACGAAAAGGACUGUGCCAAUACCACGGUUCGAUGACGGUACCCGCAGAAUAAGCACCGGCUAACUACGUG